rnacentral:lncRNA from 1 species
CUCUGUGUCCACCCGGCUCCGCCUGAGUCUUCCGGCCCGCGCGCGCUGCGUCCGCCCGCCUCGGGGUAGCCAAUGUGCGCACCUGAGCGCGGUGCAGCCGGUGGCUGGGGACGACCAGCAGGUGGCCAGAAGCGGCGCCCGCAGCGGCAGGCAACCAGCAGGAGGGCGGGUCGUGACAGGGAGCACAGAAUGAGGACCCGCGGGGGCCCUGUCGCGGUGCAGUUCACCGAGCCCUGCGUCGCUCCCAGAGGGUCUCCACGGAGGAAUCUUGAACUGACCGCUUAAUAGGAUUUGUGAAAUGAGAGUCUCAGCUUGAAAAUCUUGAAAAUCGGAGCUCUGGGAGAGCCCUGCCCCUCUUGGCAUUCGGAUGGACAUAGAACACAAAUCUGAUUCUUUAGCUUCCUGCUUUAAAUUCCUUGGACCAUAGACUGAUUUGCUUGUUCGUACCCAGAGUAGUUCUGGAGGGACACACACUGGCAGCUGUGGGCAGGGUAACUGGGUGGCGAGGAAACCUGCAGAAGAGAGAGUUUGCAUUUACUACUUUUUGGACCUUUCAUGCUUUUAUCCUUGAAAGUUAUCAAGGAAAAUUAAACGUAAUUUAAAAUACAAAGAAGUGUUGGUUUCCAACUGUCUGUACAUAGUAUAAAAUUCAAAAUCCACAGAUAGAAUAAAAUAAUUAUACAUAGAAUAAUAUUUGAAAUCCUUACCAUAGGUUCAGAGGCCCUGCGGGAGCCUACACCUCCAGCCUAGCCUGCCCUGCUCUCUUUCUCUUCCUUCUUUGGCCACAUGCACUUAAAACUUGAC